AACGUAGGAGACAAACGUUAUCCGGAGUUACUGGGCGUAAAGGGCGUGUAGGUGGUUUGUAAGUCUGGCGUGAAAUUUUUCGGCUUAACCGGGAAAGGUCGUCGGAUACUGCAAGGCUAGAGGACGGUAGAGGCGUGUGGAAUUCCGGGUGUAGUGGUGAAAUGCGUAGAGAUCCGGAGGAACACCAGUGGCGAAGGCGACACGCUGGGCCGUACCUGACACUGAUGCGCGACAGCAUGGGGAGCAAACGAGG
rnacentral:rRNA from 1 species